GAUCGCCAAGUUCCGCGAUCGUGUGUCUUCCUUCGCCGACGUCAUCGAAGCGCGCUCCAGAAAGCUACGGCUAGAGGAGGAGAAGGUGGAAGAAUCAAGAAGGGAGCUGGAGAAGGCUCAUGAAGUUGGUAGACGGAAGUCGAAGGAGUUCGAGGCGAGGGAGGAGGUGUUCGAGAUUCUGAUGAAGAAAGUGGUUUUGGAGCGGAGGAAGAUGGCGGGGAUAGUUGAGGAUCUGAGGAAGGAGAUUCCAGUGGAGAAGGUGGAUAAGGAGUCUGUAGAAGUGAAACUGAAGGAGAUAGGGGAAAGAGGGGAUGAAUUGGAGCCGUUAGGGGGUUACCUUGAGAUGAAAGCGAUUCAAGUUCGGGAGGGUGAAGAAGAGUUGGAGAAGAAGCGGAAGGAAGUCGAUGAACUUGAAGAGUUGUAGAGAACUUGAAGCAAAUACGCGGCCAUGAUCUUACGAGUUGAUGGAGGAGAAACUACAAGACCGAUUCAAUAUGCUUAGCAAAAGGAUGGAUAAGUUGGAACUUAAACGGGUGAAAGAUUUAGAGUCGAUAGAGAAGAAGACUGAGAUGACGAGUAAAGAAACUUCAAUGGAAGAUGAGAGACCUGCCAAGCCAGUGGAUCAUUCAUCAGAAGCAAACUUAGCGAUCGUGGCAUAACUAUUGGAAAUGAUGUAAAGAUGUCAGAGAAGCAGGUUGAGAUGGCUAAUGGAGAAAUUGCAAUGGAAGCUAAGAAACCUGCUAAGUCAUUGAAUGAGCAUUCCAAUGAUUACGAUUCCAUGAAGGAUGAAGUGGAGAAUGCUCUUAAACUCUCAUCAGACCCUGCAAAGCUUGUGUUCGAUGCAAUGGAAGGGUUCUACCCUCCCCGUUUGUAGAAGAGCGC
rnacentral:lncRNA from 1 species